rnacentral:rRNA from 1 species
CCUACGGGAGGCAGCGGUGGGGAAUAUUGGACAAUGGGGGCAACCCUGAUCCAGCCAUGCCGCGUGUGUGAAGAAGGCCCUCGGGUUGUAAAGCACUUUCAGUGAGGAAGAACGCCUGGUGGUUAAUACCCAUCAGGAAAGACAUCACUCACAGAAGAAGCACCGGCUAACUCCGUGCCAGCAGCCGCGGUAAUACGGAGGGUGCGAGCGUUAAUCGGAAUUACUGGGCGUAAAGCGCGCGUAGGUGGCUUGAUAAGCCGGUUGUGAAAGCCCCGGGCUCAACCUGGGAACGGCAUCCGGAACUGUCAAGCUAGAGUGCAGGAGAGGAAGGUAGAAUUCCCGGUGUAGCGGUGAAAUGCGUAGAGAUCGGGAGGAAUACCAGUGGCGAAGGCGGCCUUCUGGACUGACACUGACACUGAGGUGCGAAAGCGUGGGUAGCAAACAGGAUUAGAUACCCCGGUAGUC